rnacentral:rRNA from 1 species
GGGUUGUGAGGUUAAGCGACUAAGCGUACACGGUGGAUGCCCUGGCAGUCAGAGGCGAUGAAGGACGUGCUAAUCUGCGAUAAGCGUCGGUAAGGUGAUAUGAACCGUUAUAACCGGCGAUUUCCGAAUGGGGAAACCCAGUGUGUUUCGACACACUAUCAUUAACUGAAUCCAUAGGUUAAUGAGGCGAACCGGGGGAACUGAAACAUCUAAGUACCCCGAGGAAAAGAAAUCAACCGAGAUUCCCCCAGUAGCGGCGAGCGAACGGGGAGCAGCCCAGAGCCUGAAUCAGUGUGUGUGUUAGUGGAAGCGUCUGGAAAGGCGCGCGAUACAGGGUGACAGCCCCGUACACAAAAAUGCACAUGCUGUGAGCUCGAUGAGUAGGGCGGGACACGUGGUAUCCUGUCUGAAUAUGGGGGGACCAUCCUCCAAGGCUAAAUACUCCUGACUGACCGAUAGUGAACCAGUACCGUGAGGGAAAGGCGAAAAGAACCCCGGCGAGGGGAGUGAAAAAGAACCUGAAACCGUGUACGUACAAGCAGUGGGAGCACGCUUAGGCGUGUGACUGCGUACCUUUUGUAUAAUGGGUCAGCGACUUAUAUUCUGUAGCAAGGUUAACCGAAUAGGGGAGCCGAAGGGAAACCGAGUCUUAACUGGGCGUUAAGUUGCAGGGUAUAGACCCGAAACCCGGUGAUCUAGCCAUGGGCAGGUUGAAGGUUGGGUAACACUAACUGGAGGACCGAACCGACUAAUGUUGAAAAAUUAGCGGAUGACUUGUGGCUGGGGGUGAAAGGCCAAUCAAACCGGGAGAUAGCUGGUUCUCCCCGAAAGCUAUUUAGGUAGCGCCUCGUGAAUUCAUCUCCGGGGGUAGAGCACUGUUUCGGCAAGGGGGUCAUCCCGACUUACCAACCCGAUGCAAACUGCGAAUACCGGAGAAUGUUAUCACGGGAGACACACGGCGGGUGCUAACGUCCGUCGUGAAGAGGGAAACAACCCAGACCGCCAGCUAAGGUCCCAAAGUCAUGGUUAAGUGGGAAACGAUGUGGGAAGGCCCAGACAGCCAGGAUGUUGGCUUAGAAGCAGCCAUCAUUUAAAGAAAGCGUAAUAGCUCACUGGUCGAGUCGGCCUGCGCGGAAGAUGUAACGGGGCUAAACCAUGCACCGAAGCUGCGGCAGCGACGCUGAUGCGUUGUUGGGUAGGGGAGCGUUCUGUAAGCCUGUGAAGGUGUACUGUGAGGUAUGCUGGAGGUAUCAGAAGUGCGAAUGCUGACAUAAGUAACGAUAAAGCGGGUGAAAAGCCCGCUCGCCGGAAGACCAAGGGUUCCUGUCCAACGUUAAUCGGGGCAGGGUGAGUCGACCCCUAAGGCGAGGCCGAAAGGCGUAGUCGAUGGGAAACAGGUUAAUAUUCCUGUACUUGGUGUUACUGCGAAGGGGGGACGGAGAAGGCUAUGUUGGCCGGGCGACGGUUGUCCCGGUUUAAGCGUGUAGGCUGGUUUUCCAGGCAAAUCCGGAAAAUCAAGGCUGAGGCGUGAUGACGAGGCACUACGGUGCUGAAGCAACAAAUGCCCUGCUUCCAGGAAAAGCCUCUAAGCAUCAGGUAACAUCAAAUCGUACCCCAAACCGACACAGGUGGUCAGGUAGAGAAUACCAAGGCGCUUGAGAGAACUCGGGUGAAGGAACUAGGCAAAAUGGUGCCGUAACUUCGGGAGAAGGCACGCUGAUAUGUAGGUGAGGUCCCUCGCGGAUGGAGCUGAAAUCAGUCGAAGAUACCAGCUGGCUGCAACUGUUUAUUAAAAACACAGCACUGUGCAAACACGAAAGUGGACGUAUACGGUGUGACGCCUGCCCGGUGCCGGAAGGUUAAUUGAUGGGGUUAGCGCAAGCGAAGCUCUUGAUCGAAGCCCCGGUAAACGGCGGCCGUAACUAUAACGGUCCUAAGGUAGCGAAAUUCCUUGUCGGGUAAGUUCCGACCUGCACGAAUGGCGUAAUGAUGGCCAGGCUGUCUCCACCCGAGACUCAGUGAAAUUGAACUCGCUGUGAAGAUGCAGUGUACCCGCGGCAAGACGGAAAGACCCCGUGAACCUUUACUAUAGCUUGACACUGAACAUUGAGCCUUGAUGUGUAGGAUAGGUGGGAGGCUUAGAAGUGUGGACGCCAGUCUGCAUGGAGCCGACCUUGAAAUACCACCCUUUAAUGUUUGAUGUUCUAACGUUGACCCGUAAUCCGGGUUGCGGACAGUGUCUGGUGGGUAGUUUGACUGGGGCGGUCUCCUCCUAAAGAGUAACGGAGGAGCACGAAGGUUGGCUAAUCCUGGUCGGACAUCAGGAGGUUAGUGCAAUGGCAUAAGCCAGCUUGACUGCGAGCGUGACGGCGCGAGCAGGUGCGAAAGCAGGUCAUAGUGAUCCGGUGGUUCUGAAUGGAAGGGCCAUCGCUCAACGGAUAAAAGGUACUCCGGGGAUAACAGGCUGAUACCGCCCAAGAGUUCAUAUCGACGGCGGUGUUUGGCACCUCGAUGUCGGCUCAUCACAUCCUGGGGCUGAAGUAGGUCCCAAGGGUAUGGCUGUUCGCCAUUUAAAGUGGUACGCGAGCUGGGUUUAGAACGUCGUGAGACAGUUCGGUCCCUAUCUGCCGUGGGCGCUGGAGAACUGAGGGGGGCUGCUCCUAGUACGAGAGGACCGGAGUGGACGCAUCACUGGUGUUCGGGUUGUCAUGCCAAUGGCACUGCCCGGUAGCUAAAUGCGGAAGAGAUAAGUGCUGAAAGCAUCUAAGCACGAAACUUGCCCCGAGAUGAGUUCUCCCUGACUCCUUGAGAGUCCUGAAGGAACGUUGAAGACGACGACGUUGAUAGGCCGGGUGUGUAAGCGCAGCGAUGCGUUGAGCUAACCGGUACUAAUGAACCGUGAGGCUUAACCUUACAACGCCGAAG